AAAUUGAAGAGUUUGAUCAUGGCUCAGAUUGAACGCUGGCGGCAGGCCUAACACAUGCAAGUCGAACGGUAGCACAGAGAGCUUGCUCUCGGGUGACGAGUGGCGGACGGGUGAGUAAUGUCUGGGAAACUGCCUGAUGGAGGGGGAUAACUACUGGAAACGGUAGCUAAUACCGCAUAACGUCGCAAGACCAAAGAGGGGGACCUUCGGGCCUCUUGCCAUCAGAUGUGCCCAGAUGGGAUUAGCUAGUAGGUGGGGUAAUGGCUCACCUAGGCAACGAUCCCUAGCUGGUCUGAGAGGAUGACCAGCCACACUGGAACUGAGACACGGUCCAGACUCCUACGGGAGGCAGCAGUGGGGAAUAUUGCACAAUGGGCGCAAGCCUGAUGCAGCCAUGCCGCGUGUAUGAAGAAGGCCUUCGGGUUGUAAAGUACUUUCAGCGGGGAGGAAGGUGUUGCGGUUAAUAACCGCAGCAAUUGACGUUACCCGCAGAAGAAGCACCGGCUAACUCCGUGCCAGCAGCCGCGGUAAUACGGAGGGUGCAAGCGUUAAUCGGAAUUACUGGGCGUAAAGCGCACGCAGGCGGUCUGUCAAGUCGGAUGUGAAAUCCCCGGGCUCAACCUGGGAACUGCAUUCGAAACUGGCAGGCUAGAGUCUUGUAGAGGGGGGUAGAAUUCCAGGUGUAGCGGUGAAAUGCGUAGAGAUCUGGAGGAAUACCGGUGGCGAAGGCGGCCCCCUGGACAAAGACUGACGCUCAGGUGCGAAAGCGUGGGGAGCAAACAGGAUUAGAUACCCUGGUAGUCCACGCCGUAAACGAUGUCGACUUGGAGGUUGUUCCCUUGAGGAGUGGCUUCCGGAGCUAACGCGUUAAGUCGACCGCCUGGGGAGUACGGCCGCAAGGUUAAAACUCAAAUGAAUUGACGGGGGCCCGCACAAGCGGUGGAGCAUGUGGUUUAAUUCGAUGCAACGCGAAGAACCUUACCUACUCUUGACAUCCAGAGAACUUAGCAGAGAUGCUUUGGUGCCUUCGGGAACUCUGAGACAGGUGCUGCAUGGCUGUCGUCAGCUCGUGUUGUGAAAUGUUGGGUUAAGUCCCGCAACGAGCGCAACCCUUAUCCUUUGUUGCCAGCGGUUAGGCCGGGAACUCAAAGGAGACUGCCAGUGAUAAACUGGAGGAAGGUGGGGAUGACGUCAAGUCAUCAUGGCCCUUACGAGUAGGGCUACACACGUGCUACAAUGGCGCAUACAAAGAGAAGCGACCUCGCGAGAGCAAGCGGACCUCAUAAAGUGCGUCGUAGUCCGGAUUGGAGUCUGCAACUCGACUCCAUGAAGUCGGAAUCGCUAGUAAUCGUAGAUCAGAAUGCUACGGUGAAUACGUUCCCGGGCCUUGUACACACCGCCCGUCACACCAUGGGAGUGGGUUGCAAAAGAAGUAGGUAGCUUAACCUUCGGGAGGGCGCUUACCACUUUGUGAUUCAUGACUGGGGUGAAGUCGUAACAAGGUAACCGUAGGGGAACCUGCGGUUGGAUCACCUCCUUACCUUAAAGAA
rnacentral:rRNA from 1 species